AUGGAACAGAUUAGCCUAGGUAAUAGCAUUAGGAGAAUUAACAUUGGAAAGGUUGAAAUAAUACCUCAACUGAAGCCACAAGUCCCAAAUGAGCUAAAACGCAAGAAGCGUGGGUGCAGAGUGGGAGCAAAACGGAGACAGAAAAAGAGGAAAUUCAAACCUUCUCUUCCAUCGAUCAUAAUGGGCAAUGUGAGAUCACUGGCCAACAAGAUGGAGGAACUCCAAGCCCUUUCAAGGACUCAGCCAGAGUAUCGGCAGUGCAGUGUUAUGUGUUUCACUGAGACGUGGCUGCAGGACCAUAUCCCCGAUUCCAGCGUCUCUCUGCCAGGAUUCCUGACUGUACGAGCAGACAGGGAUCUGAAGAGGAGCGGGAAAAGAAAAGGAGGUGGAGUGGCAGUGCUUGUCAACAACAGAUGGUGCCAUCCAGGUCAUGUUUCAGUGAAAUGUCGUCUCUGCAGCCCCGAUGUUGAACUCUUGGCAGUAAGUUGUCACCCGUAUUAUUUGCCAAGAAAGUUCACCAGUGUUGUCUUGGCAACUGUUUAUAUUCCACCUUCAUCCAUUGCUGAAAGUGCAUGUGAUGCCAUCAGUUCCGUUGUCGCUAAGCUACAAACCUUGCACCCCAAUGCAUUUGUGGCUAAAUCUGGUGAUUUUAAUCAUGCCUCGCUCUCUGCUACACUUCCAACAUUUCAUCAGUUUGUCAGCUGCUCCACCAGAGAAAACAAGACAUUGGAUUUGUGUUAUGCAAAUGUAAAGAAUGCAUACAUGUCCAAAACUAGACCUCCUCUGGGACAAUCAGAUCACAAUCUUGUUUUUCUCUGCUCAGAAUACAAACCACUUGUUCAGAGGCAACCUUUGACAAGAAGAACUGUUAGAAAAUGGUCACAGGACGCUGAAGAAGCCCUGCAGAGUUGUUUUGAGACCACAGAUUGGAUGACUCUCUGCCAAGGAUAUGAAGAGGACAUCAAUGCCAUGACUGGAUGUGUCACUGACUAUAUAAACUUCUGUGUGGACAACAUCAUACCCACCAGAACAGUGAGAUGCUUCGCUAAUAACAAACCCUGGAUCACCAGUGAACUGAAGAAUCUGCUAAAUGAGAAAAAAAGAGCCUUCAAGGAGGGAGACAGGGAAUUAUUGAGGAGUAUACAGAAGCAACUGAAGAUCAAGAUCAGAGACAGCAAGGAGGCAUACAGGAAGAAGCUGGAGAACAAACUACAGAGGAACAAUAUCAGAGAUGUCUGGUCAGGGAUGAAGAAGAUCACAGGCUUCAAGCAGAGGAAGGAUUGCACAGAUGGCAGCCUGGACACAGCCAAUGAACUGAACAAGUUCUUCAAUAGGUUCAGUUCAGGAACAAACCCAGCAUCCUCCUCGCCUGUCCCCAGCCAAUCAGACAUCCCAUCCUCCUCUGAUCCAACAUUUUCCUGUCACACGCCAGCUCUUUUGUCCUCUAACGCAGUCAUGGACUCUUCUGGUUCUAUAAAUCUGUCUUCAACCAAGUCAGGAGAUGCUGCUGCCCCAUUUACCUCCCCCUCCCACCUAUCUGUCUCUAGAAGUCAGGUGAAGAGGCAGCUGGAGAGACUGAACAGGAACAAGGCUGCAGGUCCAGAUGGUGUCAGCCCCAGAGUACUGAAGGCCUGUGCAGAGCAGCUCUGUGGGAUUCUGCAGCACCUCUUCAACCUCAGCCUGGCCCAGGAGAAGGUUCCAGUCCUGUGGAAGACAUCCUGCCUUGUUCCAGUUCCAAAGAAAACUCGCCCAUCAGUCAAUGACGACUACAGACCGGUUGCCCUGACAUCCCACAUCAUGAAGGUCCUGGAGAGACUCCUGUUGGUCCACCUGAAUAAGCAAACUAGAACAUAUCAGGACCCGCUGCAGUUUGCUUAUCGCCAUGGAGUUGGAGUUGAAGAUGCCAUCAUCCAGCUGCUUCAACCA
ensembl:lncRNA